CGAUAAUUGUGAGUGCUAGGAGAAUGUUUGCAGUGAGAUAUUGUGGAUCAAAAAGUGUCUAAAUUUGUAUAAUUGGUCACGGUUACGUUCUGAUCCUAAGCUUGUUAAGAGGAAUGGAUACGGUUUUAUGGUCGCUUAUUAGCUAAUGCGUUAUCUUUGCAAUCUUUAUUGUUUCUUCUACAUUGGUACUUUCGUUUUAUUUCGUUAUUGAAUACCGGCCUGAAGUUCCCAUUCACUUCCUAAGAAGUAUCAUUAACCGGAUAAGAUUUGAAUGCUCGUAGUGGAAGAAACCUACGCAUACGUCUAUACUUACACGUACCACGUCAAGUUCAUGGCCCUUUGAAGAAAUUAUCAGUCAG